rnacentral:tRNA from 1 species
AAUUUAAUGAAAUUUAUAGUAAGAGGAAAAUCCGUCGAAUUUUAAAAUCGU